AGCUUGCUGCUUUGCUGACGAGUGGCGGACGGGUGAGUAAUGUCUGGGAAACUGCCUGAUGGAGGGGGAUAACUACUGGAAACGGUAGCUAAUACCGCAUAACGUCGCAAGACCAAAGAGGGGGACCUUCGGGCCUCUUGCCAUCGGAUGUGCCCAGAUGGGAUUAGCUUGUUGGUGGGGUAACGGCUCACCAAGGCGACGAUCCCUAGCUGGUCUGAGAGGAUGACCAGCCACACUGGAACUGAGACACGGUCCAGACUCCUACGGGAGGCAGCAGUGGGGAAUAUUGCACAAUGGGCGCAAGCCUGAUGCAGCCAUGCCGCGUGUAUGAAGAAGGCCUUCGGGUUGUAAAGUACUUUCAGCGGGGAGGAAGGGAGUAAAGUUAAUACCUUUGCUCAUUGACGUUACCCGCAGAAGAAGCACCGGCUAACUCCGUGCCAGCAGCCGCGGUAAUACGGAGGGUGCAAGCGUUAAUCGGAAUUACUGGGCGUAAAGCGCACGCAGGCGGUUUGUUAAGUCAGAUGUGAAAUCCCCGGGCUCAACCUGGGAACUGCAUCUGAUACUGGCAAGCUUGAGUCUCGUAGAGGGGGGUAGAAUUCCAGGUGUAGCGGUGAAAUGCGUAGAGAUCUGGAGGAAUACCGGUGGCGAAGGCGGCCCCCUGGACGAAGACUGACGCUCAGGUGCGAAAGCGUGGGGGAGCAAACAGGAUUAGAUACCCUGGGUAGUCCACGCCGU
rnacentral:rRNA from 1 species